GAUCCUGGCUCAGGAUGAACGCUAGCGACAGGCUUAACACAUGCAAGUCGAGGGGCAGCAUGAACUUAGCUUGCUAAGUUUGAUGGCGACCGGCGCACGGGUGAGUAACGCGUAUGCAACUUGCCUAUCAGAGGAGAAUAGCUCAUCGAAAGAUGAAUUAAUGCUCCAUAAAACAAGGGUCCCGGCCAUGGGAAGUAUUGUUUAAAGGUAAUUACUAUCGCUGAUAGAA
rnacentral:rRNA from 1 species